rnacentral:rRNA from 1 species
UAAGACCGAGCACCGAGACGAGCCUUUAUGGCGAAGUCACUGAUACCACGCUUCCAGGAAAAGCUCCUAAGCUUCAGCUUACGCAGACCGUACCGUAAACCGACACAGGUGGGUAGGAUGAGAAUUCUCAGGCGCUUGAGAGAACUCGGGUGAAGGAACUAGGCAACAUGGCACCGUAACUUCGGGAGAAGGUGCACCCUUUUUGGUGGCUCGUGCGAGCUAUAGCUGAAGAGGGUCGCAGUAACCAGGCCGCUGCGACUGUUUAUCAAAAACACAGCACUCUGCAAACACGAAAGUGGACGUAUAGGGUGUGACGCCUGCCCGGUGCUGGAAGGUUAAUUGAUGGGGUCAGCCGCAAGGCGAAGCUCUUGAUCGAAGCCCCAGUAAACGGCGGCCGUAACUAUAACGGUCCUAAGGUAGCGAAAUUCCUUGUCGGGUAAGUUCCGACCUGCACGAAUGGCGUAACGACAGCGGCGCUGUCUCCACCCGAGACUCAGUGAAAUUGAAAUCGCUGUGAAGAUGCAGCGUUCCCGUGGCAAGACGGAAAGACCCCGUGAACCUUUACUAUAGCUUUACACUGAACGUUGAGUUCGUCUGUGUAGGAUAGGUGGGAGGCUAUGAAACUGUGGCGCUAGCUGCAGUGGAGCCAUCCUUGAAAUACCACCCUGUCGUGCUUGACGUUCUAACCUGGGCCCAUUAUCUGGGUCGGGGACCGUGUAUGGUGGGUAGUUUGACUGGGGCGGUCUCCUCCUAAAGAGUAACGGAGGAGCUCGAAGGUACGCUCAGCGCGGUCGGACAUCGCGCACUGUGUGCAAAGGCAUAAGCGUGCUUGACUGCAAGAUCGACGGAUCAAGCAGGUAGGAAACUAGGACUUAGUGAUCCGGUGGUUCUGUAUGGAAGGGCCAUCGCUCAACGGAUAAAAGGUACUCCGGGGAUAACAGGCUGAUACCGCCCAAGAGUUCAUAUCGACGGCGGUGUUUGGCACCUCGAUGUCGGCUCAUCACAUCCUGGGGCUGUAGUCGGUCCCAAGGGUAUGGCUGUUCGCCAUUUAAAGUGGUACGCGAGCUGGGUUCAGAACGUCGUGAGACAGUUCGGUCCCUAUCUGCCAUGGGCGUUGGAGAUUUGAGAGGGGCUGCUCCUAGUACGAGAGGACCGGAGUGGACGAACCUCUGGUGUUCCGGUUGUCACGCCAGUGGCAUUGCCGGGUAGCUAUGUUCGGAAGCGAUAACCGCUGAAAGCAUCUAAGCGGGAAGCGCGCCUCAAGAUGAGAUCUCCCGGGGCACAAGCCCCCUGAAGGAACCAUGUAGACUACGUGGUUGAUAGGUCAGGUGUGUAAGUACAGCAAUGUAUUGAGCUAACUGAUACUAAUGAUCCGAGAGGCUUGACCAU